CCCUAGUGUACGGGACAACAUCGGGAAACUGGUGCUAAUACCGAAUACGCUUCUUUAGAUGCGAAUUUAGAGAAGGAAAGGUGGCCUCUUCAUGAAAGCUACUGCACAAGGAUGAGCCUGCGUACCAUUAGCUAGUUGGUGGGGUAAUGGCCUACCAAGGCUUCGAUGGUUAGCGGGUCUGAGAGGAUGAUCCGCCACACUGGCACCGGAACACGGGCCAGACUCCUACGGGAGGCAGCAGUGAGGAAUUUUGCACAAUGGGGGAAACCCUGAUGCAGCGACGCCGCGUGAGUGAUGAAGGCCCUUGGGUCGUAAAGCUCUGUCAAUAGGGAAGAAGUGUCUAAUGGAUAAUACCCGUUAGAUUUGACGGUACCUAUAAAGGAAGCACCGGCUAAAUCCGUGCCAGCAGCCGCGGUAAUACGGAUGGUGCGAGCGUUGUUCGGAAUUACUGGGCGUAAAGGGCGCGUAGGCGGCCUGUCAAGUCAGAUGUGAAAGCCCACGGCUCAACCGUGGAAGUGCAUCUGAAACUGGCAGGCUUGAGUACUGGAGAGGAAAGUGGAAUUCCUGGUGUAGAGGUGAAAUUCGUAGAUAUCAGGAGGAAUACCGGUGGCGAAGGCGACUUUCUGGACAGAUACUGACGCUGAGGCGCGAAAGCGUGGGGAGCAAACAGGAUUAGAUACCCUGGUAGUCCACAGCUGUAAACGAUGUGCACUAGGUGUAGGGGGUCGUUGACCCUUUCUGUGCCGUAGCUAACGCAUUAAGUGCACCGCCUGGGGAGUACGGUCGCAAGAUUAAAACUCAAAGGAAUUGACGGGGG
rnacentral:rRNA from 1 species